rnacentral:rRNA from 1 species
AUCAUGGAGAGUUUGAUCCUGGCUCAGGACGAACGCUGGCGGCGUGCUUAACACAUGCAAGUCGAACGGGAAGAAAAAGAAGAGCUUGCUCUUUUUUGGAUUCUAGUGGCAAACGGGUGAGUAACACGUAAACAACCUGCCUUCAGGAUGGGGACAACAGACGGAAACGACUGCUAAUACCGAAUACCUUCCAAUUUCCGCAUGGAGAUAGGAAGAAAGGGUGGCCUCUACUUGUAAGCUAUCGCCUGAAGAGGGGUUUGCGUCUGAUUAG